AGGACUAGUCCCUCCUUGGAAAACAAAUAACACAGCUGUAAGUGCCUGGAAUCAAAGGCCACACAGACCCUCAUCGGAUCCGCCUCCUAGCUGGCCCGGGUCAGUGAUGCACUUAUUGUAAGGGGACCAGCUCCUGAAAGGCCCAACCUUCGAGGCACAGAAAAGAUUUUAAACGACUCAUCGGUCAAGUCCAAGCAAUGGAGCCCACAGGCAAAGCAGGGCCACGUCCUGGGAUCCUCGGCAGCACGCAUCAUUUCAGCAAUUCCAAGAGGAUUUCAAAUGGAAUCACAAAACUUUUCUUCUCGGUAUAGUUCAACUGCCUCCAUGAUCCUCUCAGCCUACACAGACGAGGACAAAGGACAGACGUCACCGGGACACACUCCAUCCCAGAACACUGUGCCCGGAGGGCCCGAUGGGAAAAUCACCAAAG